GAUGAACGCUGGCGGCGUGCCUAACACAUGCAAGUCGAGCGAACAGACGAGGAGCUUUCUCCCCUGACGUUAGCGGCGGACGGGUGAGUAACACGUGGAUAACCUACCUAUAAGACUGGGAUAAUAACGGGAAACCGGAUCUACUACCGGAUAAUAUAUCGAACUGCAUGGUUCAAUAGUUAAAGACGCUUUUGGUGAUAGUAAUAGCCGAAUCCGCGCCGAAUUAGCUAGUUGGUAAGGUAACAGCUUACCAAGGCAACGAUGCGGAGCCGACCUGAGAGGGUGAUCGGCCACACUGGAACUGAGACACGGUCCAGACUCCUACGGGAGGCAGCAGUAGGGAAUCUUCCGCAAUGGGCGAAAGCCUGACGGAGCAACACCGCGUGAGUGAUGAAGGUCUUCGGAUCGUAAAGCUCUGUUGUUAGGAAAGAACAAAAGUGUAAGUAACUAUGCACGUCUUGACGGUACCUAAACAAAAAGCCCCGGCUAGCUACGUG
rnacentral:rRNA from 1 species